rnacentral:misc_RNA from 1 species
UACGAAGGGGGCUAGCGUUGUUCGGAAUCACUGGGCGUAAAGCGCGCGUAGGCGGACUGCCAAGUCAGAGGUGAAAUCCCGGGGCUCAACCCCGGAAUUGCCUUUGAAACUGGUAGUCUGGAGUCUCGGAGGGGGUGGCGGAAUUCCUAGUGUAGAGGUGAAAUUCGUAGAUACUAGGAGGAACACCGGCGGCGAAGGCGGCCACCUGGACGAGUACUGACGCUGAGGUGCGAAAGCGUGGGGAGCAAACAGG